rnacentral:misc_RNA from 1 species
GAUGAAGAACGUAGCGAAAUGCGAUAAGUAAUGCGAAUUGCAGAAUUCCGUGAGUCAUCGAAUCUUUGAACGCACAUUGCGCCCUCUGGUAUUCCGGAGGGCAUGCCUGUCUGAGCGUCAUUGUCAACCCUCAAGCUCAGCUUGCUGUUGGGUCCCCGUCGUUGCUUUAACGGCGGACCCGAAAGGUAAUGGCAGAGUCAGUGAGACCCUAGACGCAGCGAGCUUCUAGCACGCGUCUGGACGUUUUUCGGGCUCGGCCUUAACUAGAUGAUAACUUCCGAUUGACCUCAGAUCAGGUAGGGAUACCCGCUGAACUUAAGCAUAUCAAUAAGCGGAGGA